rnacentral:lncRNA from 1 species
AUGUCCAAACACAAAACUCAAGAGAAUCACCAAAAGAUGAGGAAUCUAGUGAUCAGAGAGUUUAAGUUACUUUUCCAUGGUCACACAGCUGGUAUAUAUAAGAUGUGCAGUAUGAGUCCAAGUAUUCUUAAUUCCAAACCAAGCUCUAUCUACUACCCAAUACAACUUCAGUGAAGAGACCAAAAUGCUCAGAAAGCACUUUGGUCAGCACAUACUUAAUCUCCUGCCCACAUAUAGCAUCAAGGACAGUGCCAAUAUGAUGUAAGACCUCAUUUGUAAAACAUUAUCCAGGAGCACAAUAGUACACUUCAAGCAAUAUCUCCUCACUAAUAAUGAUCAAGAAAUUGUGGAGAGGAGAACGAGUCUGUAAGAAGUUUGGUGCAAGAGAACUAUCCAGAGAACAAACAAAAGGGGCAAACGAAUAGAAAAGAAAUGGAACAGAUCAGUGAAGUUUCUACAAUCUUCAAUUUUCACCACAGAGAAUUUCACAAUCUAGGACUCAUUGUGAGAAAGUGAAAAAGGCAUUUAUGAAGGUGAAGCUGGACCUGAUGAAGAAAUCUCUGCUGAAUGCAGAACAUUUUCAAAAGUCAUUUAGAGAAUAUUUUUGGACAUAUUUUAAAAAGUAAAUAGCACAUGAGAAAUUUCACAUUUCCCAAUAGCAUGUAGAACUAUUUCUUGACACCAUACUCUAGAGCUGUUUCUUUACCUAAUGCCAUCAUUUCAACAGCAGUAGUCUCUUGGUGAUGCAGUGGCCACAAACCAUGAAAAACACUCCAAUCUGAUAAGCAUCCAGAUUGUAAGUAAUCCAAAGAGUAAUGGAGAGAUGAAUGGCAGCUAUAAAAUGGGAAUGAUAAAAGCAUUUAUCUCCCAGGGUUGAUGUCAGGAAAAAAUGACAUAAUAUUUGUAAAAUACUUUGCAAACUUUAAAAUGCCAUGUAAAUGUUAGCUGUAGCACAUGAUAAGGCAGCUGGGUGGCACAGUGGAUGGAAUGCCAGGUCCGGAGUCAGGAAGACUCCUUUUCCUGAGGUUCAAAUGAGGUUUAGACAUUUCCUAGCUGGUGACCCUGGUCAGGUUAUGUAACCCUGUUUGUCUCAAUUCUUCAUGUUUAAGAUGAACAAGAGAAAGAAAUGGCAAACCACUCCAGUAUCUUUGCCAAGAAAACUCUAAAUGGGGUC